rnacentral:tRNA from 1 species
GCCGCAAUGGUGGAAUUGGUAGACACGAGGGACUUAAAAUCCCUUGACCAGUAAUGGUUGUGCGGGUUCGAGUCCCGCUCGCGGCA